AAGCAAGCUGUUGGAUUAAAUGCUGUACAAGUUUACAGUUGCAAGUCCUUCAUUUCAUCAUUUUAUGUUGUACCAGGUGAAAGAUCAUUUGUCACCAUCUUAACGCUGCUGCAAAAUAGAAGGAACUGGUGGCUUCUCACGUUCUCAAUUGUAAACAUUUGCAAUUCUACACUCCCCUAAAUUACCUGUCAAGCCAUAAUGCCUGAUGAAGACCCUAGUGACCAUUUCUUUGGUUCUUCUGGAAGCAAGACCAAUUCAAGCUCUAGAAUAAAAGGCUUAAGCAUGGUUAUACCAUACCACCUGGAGGAUCACGUUGUUCCAAAAUUUAAAACUGCAGCUAAGAAGACUAAAAAGAAAAUAGCUCACUCUGGGAGUGAACUAAAGUGGAAUUGUAAAUUUCACUCCUCUGCAGAACCCCAGUCUCCUUCUGAAUUUGCUUAUAUCAUCUUGACCAACUCUAUAGUUGCCUAGGUUUCCUUGUGUAAUAUUUGUUGGCUCUAUACUUUGUGUCUUGUCUGUUUUGUACUUUGUUUCUUGUCUGUUAACAGAAACAUGUCAAGAAUUUCUCUUUGUAUUAAUCAUUGAAAAUGUGCCAGAUUCUGUU